rfam:Schistosoma mansoni, Puerto Rico, WGS project CABG01000000 data, contig: 0124
GUACUGCUGAAGAGUCCUGUGCUAAGACGAAACGGCCGUCCAGUGC